rnacentral:rRNA from 1 species
GACGAACGCUGGCGGCGUGCUUAACACAUGCAAGUCGAACGGAAAGGCCCUGCUUUUGUGGGGUGCUCGAGUGGCGAACGGGUGAGUAACACGUGAGUAACCUGCCCUUGACUUUGGGAUAACUUCAGGAAACUGGGGCUAAUACCGGAUAGGAGCUCCUGCUGCAUGGUGGGGGUUGGAAAGUUUCGGCGGUUGGGGAUGGACGCGCGGCUUAUCAGCUUGUUGGUGGGGUAGUGGCUUACCAAGGCUUUGACGGGUAGCCGGCCUGAGAGGGUGACCGGCCCCAUUGGGACUGAGGUACGGCCCAGACUGCAACGGGAGGCAACAGUGGGGAAUAUUGCAAAAUGGGCGGAAGCCUGAUGCAGCAACGCCGCGUGCGAGAUGACGGCCUUCGGGUUGUGAACCGCUUUCGCCUGUGACGAAGCGUGAGUGACGGUAAUGGGUAAAGAAGCACCGGCUAACUACGUG